GACUCAUCAUUGGCUUGAGAAUGACACUCUCCUCUGUUUGAAGAAGGUUGAGGAUGGAAUCGGGGGUGAGGAGGUGAGGACACUACCUAGAGAGAGCUCCUGUGAGGAUGAAAAAGAAAAAACUCUUCAGGAGCAAGCAGGAAGAGAAACAUUCACUGCUAAGAAGGUUCAGGUUCCCUCCAAUUUCUCUUCCUCCUGGUUCCCAGGAUCUGGCCUAAUUUGUGCUGGUGAGGAAGGAAAAAGAGGGCUGAGACUACCCUCAAGAGGUGCCAACGUUCAGAAGAACAACAAUGCUGUAUUAAGAAAUAUCCCCUCCAGCCCUGGCUGGUAUGGCUUGAUGGAUUAAACACUGGCCUGUGAACUGAAAGGUCACUGGUUUGAUUCCCGGUCUGGGCACAUGCCUGGGUUGCAGGCCAGGUCCCU